AAUCGAGAGGCGGUUUAUGUAUCAAGACCUCGCCCAGAAGAUGGUAGUGGCGUUCCAACAUUCAAGAUGCCAAACACCAAGGCAGGUAAGUGGUAUAGGAAUAGAGGUUCAAAGCUUUCUCUGAUACCUUUAGCAAAACUCAAACAAGAAGGGCUCAGAGGCAAUAUGCUGCCUCAUGUAAUGCAGAGUUUGAUUGGGCGAAUGAGAGACAAGCCCAACUUCACUAAUUAGUCGAGCUUAGAGAAAAGCUUCGGCUGGAAGAGUUGGAGUUGGCCAAAGCCGAUGUUGUGGCUUCGUUG
rnacentral:lncRNA from 1 species